rnacentral:lncRNA from 1 species
CAGGGCAAGACGAGAAAACACAGUGCUGUCCUGAUAAACGGCUCUAAAUCCCUCCUAUCCAGCAAAGUCUUAUUACAGGAAUACUGUCUGUUUGGCUCAGAGUGAGGUCUUGGAAACAGAAUGGAAAAAAAAAUGCUUCUAAUAUCCUGAGAUGCCUGUUGUCUAAAAUUUGGAAAACCACGUGAGUUAUUUGAAGAGAAAUACUUUUCGUUGUUGGCAAUUCAGGGCCACA